rnacentral:rRNA from 1 species
UACAGAGGGGGCAAGCGUUGUUCGGAAUUACUGGGCGUAAAGGGCGCGUAGGCGGCCUUUUAAGUCAGACGUGAAAUCCCCCGGCUUAACCUGGGAACUGCGUCUGAUACUGGGUGGCUUGAGUAUGGGAGAGGGAUGUGGAAUUCCAGGUGUAGCGGUGAAAUGCGUAGAUAUCUGGAGGAACACCGGUGGCGAAGGCGGCAGCCUGGACGGGGAUGGACACUGAGGCGCGAAAGCCAGGGGAGCAAACGGG